rnacentral:rRNA from 1 species
UACGGGGGGGAGCAAGCGUUGUUCGGAUUUACUGGGCGUAAAGGGCGCGUAGGCGGUCAGCACAAGUCAGUUGUGAAAUCUCCGGGCUUAACUCGGAAAGGUCAACUGAUACUGUGCGACUAGAGUGCAGAAGGGGCAACUGGAAUUCUCGGUGUAGCGGUGAAAUGCGUAGAUAUCGAGAGGAACACCUGCGGCGAAGGCGGGUUGCUGGGCUGAC